UUUGUAAAAUGAGUGGUGGCGCUGCCACGGUACUGUUCGUGUGUUCGUUAGAAUGAAUGGGCCGCAAAAAGGAAGGAAAUUGUUGCUGUAAAUUUUUAAUUAAAAAAAGAAGACAACAUGACAGAAAUAAAGACAUAUGCCGUGUCGUCGUCGUCGUGAUGAGGUCUUGGAGGGACUAAGGCGUGUCACUCCCCAGCUAGUGUCCUGUGUAGAAGAGACUGCUUCAUCCCUUUACUCUGAUCCACUGUUCCUGAUCCCACUCAUCCCAUGUGACAGGGACAGAAAGGAUCAGUGACCAGCUGAGGAGUACGUGUCAGUAGCCCUCGCCUCCUCCUUCACAAAAGAAAGAACAAAAGCAAAUCCCUCCCUCUGCUCUCCUCCUUGGAGCAAGCAAUGCCCAACCUUCUAAACACAGAUUCCUCCUCCAGCUCCAAACAGGAGCUCCUGGACCUCAACGAUGGUCCGGUCAGUGCCUGCCUGGACACACCCAGCCCAGUUGAGUCCCAGCAAGACGAUUCACCGAUCGGCUCCAGCCCCGGAAGUCCCGGUGCAGCUGGUCCAGUGGGGAGAGGGAAUGGGCGUGCACUAGCAGGACAGGGCUACGGGGACAAGACCGAAUCCCCGUAUGGAAUCAAGUUCAUCCCGACGGAGGCUGAGCAUCUCUGUGGCUGGGGGCCUCUUACGCCGCAGGUGAUUCAGACAUUCAACACUCCGCAGUGGGUGCUGUUCUUCCUCUGCGUGGCCUCCUUCCUCCAGGGCAUGAUUGUCAACGGCUUCAUCAACACGGUGGUGACCUCCAUUGAGCGGCGCUUCGACCUGCGCAGCUACCAGACGGGGCUGAUCGCCAGCUCCUAUGACAUCGCCGCCUGCAUCUGCCUGACCUUCGUCAGCUACUUCGGGGGCACGGGGCACAAGCCCAAGUGGCUGGGCUGGGGGGUGCUGAUCAUGGCACUGGGCUCGUUGGUCUUCACCCUGCCGCAUUUCACCACCCCGCCCUACCAGGUGAGCGUGCUGGAGCAGGCGGGUCUGUGUUUGGCCAACGCCACCAGCCCCUGCCAGGAGAGCAGCAGCAGCCUGUCCAACUACCGCUUCGUCUUCAUGCUGGGCCAGUUCCUGCACGGCAUGGGGGCCACGCCCCUCUACACUCUGGGGGUGACCUACUUGGAUGAGAACGUUAAGUCCAGCUAUGCACCCGUCUAUAUCGGGAUCUUUUACACCGCGGCCAUCGUGGGACCGGCUGCUGGAUACCUGCUGGGCGGAAUGUUCCUCAACAUGUACACCGAGAUCCAUCUGACGACAGAACUCACACCGGAGAACCCUCUCUGGGUGGGGGCCUGGUGGAUCGGCUUCCUCGUGGGUGGCGCUGCUGCUCUGGUCACUGCCCUCCCCAUUCUAGGAUACCCACGCCAGCUCCCAGGCUCCCAGCGCUACGUGGCCAUGCGGGUGUCAGAGGCCCACCAGUUAAAGGACGGGAGCCAGGUGACGGCAGCAGACCCACAGUUUGGAAAGACAGUGAAGGACAUGCCCAGGUCAGUACUGCUCCUUCUGAAGAAUCCCACGUUUAUCUUCCUGUGUUUUGCUGGGGCCACUGAGGCCACUCUUAUAGCAGGCAUGUCCACGUUUGGCCCCAAGUUCCUGGAGUCUCAGUUCAGUCUCAGUGCCUCUGAGGCUGCCACCUGGUUUGGUUACAUGGUGGUGCCGGCGGGUGGGGGGGGCACCUUCCUGGGCGGAUACAUCGUGAAGAAGCUCAACCUGCGUUGCCGUGGCAUUAUCCGCUUCUGCUUGCUGUGUGCCAUCGUCAGCCUGUUCGCCAUCUUCGUCUUCCUCCUCCACUGCCCCAAUGUGCCAGUGGCUGGGGUUAAUGUGCCGUACCAGAGCCCCCUCCAGUUCCAGCACCCGUACCAAGACUUUCACAAUGGAUCCCAGGUGAAAGAGAAUCUGACUGUUGGCUGUAAUGCAGAUUGCCACUGCUUGCGAGAGAUGUAUAACCCUGUAUGUGGGGCUGAUGGGAUCAUGUACUACUCCCCCUGCCAUGCUGGCUGCAGCACUGUCAACCACACACUGAGCAGCACUGGGACACAGGUGUACUCUGACUGCAGCUGCGUGAUUGGUAAUAAUUCCACGUGGGGGGAGGCGGGGCUUGCGCAAGCAGGGAAGUGCAGCACUUCCUGCCAUCACAUGCCCCUAUUCCUCAGCUUCCUGUUUGUGAUCAUCUCCUUCACCUUCCUGUGCAGCAUCCCGGCCCUCACCGCCACCCUCAGGUGUGUCCCAGACACCCAGAGGUCCUUUGGGCUGGGGAUUCAGUGGAUUGUUGUGCGAACAUUAGGGGGAAUCCCGGGUCCCAUAGCGUUCGGCUCCGUGAUUGACAUCUCCUGCAUGCUGUGGCAGGAGGAGUGUGGCGAGCAGGGCUCCUGCUACCUCUACCACAACUCUGCCAUGAGCCACUACAGCCUCAUAGCGGGGCUCAUAUACAAGGCUCUGGGGACCGUGUUCUUCUUCCUGGCGUCGGUGCUGUACAAGCCCCCGCCCGAGUCCCCGCAGAGCAGCUGCGAGAGCACGGACCACGGCGCGGGGGACACGGGGGACCUCCCCGUCAAGGACGUCCCGCAGGAGAUCCUCCCCACUGUGACUGCCAGGUUCUGACGACCGCCGCCCGCCGUGUCUGUCCAUCAGCAUCCUCCACCACCUGACACCUGUCACUCACCAUGCCCCGCCUCCCUCACCCACCAGCACCAUCUCACCGAGGCUGGCACUUCAUCACAACUGCUGCAUAGCCCCGUUAUGUUCCCUGCCGUGUUGUGUUAUGAAGGUCUCCCUCUGGGCAUGUACAGUUAGUGUUAGUCCCAGGGGUCACAGUAAAGAUCUCUGGGGUCAUAAUGGGGUCACAGCAGCUGUUUAGGACAUGGAUGACACAAAAACUGUACCUGGACUAUGAGAAACAACCAUUUGGAAACAUUUACCAAAUAAGGGGACACAGCAGUGCUCAACAGUGUAUAUUUUUGGCAAAGGAAAUACAUUUUUGUAAAAAGAGGUUUAUAAUCGAUGGCAGAAACAUUGUUUCUGAUGGUUCAGAGAAUCUAAAGGUCGCAUAUUUAUGAUUAUCUGUGUCAUUUUUAUGUUCACAUCCGGUGGUAUCCUCUGGAGAGAAGCAUACCUACAUUACAGUACAUCAGUUUCAAAGCCCGCUGUACUGUAUCCAAGUCCAGCAGCAGAGUCCAGGCCAUCCUGUACCUACCGAGCACUCUUAUAGUUAUUAUUGAUUUAAAUGUAUUAUAUAUUAAUAUUAAUAACCUGUCUUAACCAGACACAUAUAUUAUUUAAAUGCACCGUUUUUUUUUAUUCGCCCUUAUGACAGUAUAUCAAUCAUAUAACAGAUACAUAAUAGAAAAUUAAUUGCUGGCAUAACAGAAUCCUCUUGAUGGACUUGGCAGAAGGAAUGGGAUCUUUUAGAUCUUUUACAGUGGCCCACGUCAAGUCCGGAUUAUUUUAUACCACAUAAUAAACUGAUCUGAUCCUUUUUUAAUAUGCAUAUGAUGAGUAUGUACAGUAUACGGGUUGUUUAUGGGUAUGUAUCUAUAGAGACUGUAUAUAAAGCCCUCUCACUGUGUAGGGUCAGGAGAAAACAGAACGACCCUUUGAGGAGCAGGGAGAGCUCGGGGCCACAGAUGGCUCUGCUCUGAAAGACCGAUGCAUUUUGCUCUCUGUUCACUUGCCGUAACACGCCAAACAAUACUGCGGCAAGGACAGCAGAGCUUAAGAGCCUCUGCGCUGCCAAAAUGUGUGGAAAUACCUCAUGCCAAAGUCGUUUUUCAAUCGGAAAUCCGUAUGUACUGUGUCUGAUUUAACAAGUAUUUUUCUAAAAUGGAUCUUAAUGGUUAAAACUUGGUCUCUUGCCAAGACUGCAGUUGAGUUACAUGGUUUGUUUGAAGUGUCGGAAUACACACAAAUCCAUUCACUGUUUGCACUAUCAUUAUAAUGAGUUAUAGCUGGAAAAUAAUUCUCUUACAGUAAAAAUAAUUAUCUUGAAGUUGCCACUCCCCAGCUUUACUGGAAGUCGAAUGCGAGUGAAUCACUUUGGUCAGUGCUAUGACUAUAAUGGAAGAUGACUCGAAGAGCAGUGUGUGUAUUUAUCCAUUCAGAUGUAAAUUUAUUUGCCAUGUGAGUUUUCUUACUGGAAAAGUUUUAAGUAGUUUUUCAUGAUUUCCAAAAUUUAAUUAUAAAAUUAUUUAUUUAUAUUAUCUAUUUUGUCAUUCAAGCCAUUUAUUAAAUUGACUUUAUUAGCUGUAUUCAACAGAUUGUUCAUCGCCAUAAUAUAUAAAGCCAUAGUUAAUGAGGUCCAGAAUAAUUUUAAAUGUGUAUUUGAAUUCUGUUUGAUGUUUAUCAUUUUCUCCAACCAAAAAUGACUGCAAAUUUUCUUCAUGGUCCAGUGAUGUUGCACAAUAUAUGUAUUCCAGUUCAUUAAGUGAACCAUGAAUGUGAAUGACAUUUGUUCAGAAGUUUAAUUCUAUGUUAUCCGUUAUGCUGUUUUAUUUUCCUUUUGAUACUUUGUCGAAGUUUCAUAAAACUAUGUUCGUGAACUCAUUAAGACAGAGAACAUAAACAGCAGAUGUUUGUGUGGUGAGUUUUGCAUGUAGUACUGCGUGGUUUGCGUUGUGAUCUAGAUUCGUGAGAAGAGUC